CCCACGGGGGACAGCAGUGGGGAAUAUUGGGCAAUGGGCGCAAGCCUGACCCAGCAACGCCGCGUGAAGGAAGAAGGCUUUCGGGUUGUAAACUUCUUUUCUCAGGGACGAAGCAAGUGACGGUACCUGAGGAAUAAGCCACGGCUAACUACGUGCCAGCAGCCGCGGUAAUACGUAGGUGGCAAGCGUUAUCCGGAUUUACUGGGUGUAAAGGGCGUGUAGGCGGGAAAGCAAGUCAGAUGUGAAAACCAUGGGCUCAACCUGUGGCCUGCAUUUGAAACUGUUUUUCUUGAGUACUGGAGAGGCAGACGGAAUUCCUAGUGUAGCGGUGAAAUGCGUAGAUAUUAGGAGGAACACCAGUGGCGAAGGCGGUCUGCUGGACAGCAACUGACGCUGAGGCGCGAAAGCGUGGGGAGCAAACAGGAUUAGAUACCCUGGUAGUC
rnacentral:rRNA from 1 species